GAUGAGCCCGCGUCGGAUUAGCUAGUUGGUGAGGUAAUGGCUCACCAAGGCGACGAUCCGUACUGGUCUGAGAGGACGAUCAGCCACACUGGGACUGAGACACGGCCAACUCCUACGGGAGGCAGCAGUGGGGAAUAUUGCACAAUGGGCGAAAGCCUGAUGCAGCAAUGCCGCGUGUGUGAAGAAGGCCUGCGGGUUGUAAAGCACUUUCGGUAGGGAAGAUUAUGACGGUACCUACAGAAAAGCACCGGUAACUCCGUGCCAGCAGCCGCGGUGAUACGGAGGGUGCAAGCGUUAAUCGGAAUUACUGGCGUAAAGCGCACGCAGGCGGUCUGUCAAGUCGGAUGUGAAAUCCCCGGGCUCAACCUGGGAACUGCAUUCGAAACUGGCAGGCUAAGUUCUGUACAGGGGGGUAAAUUCCAGGUGUACGGUUGAAAUGCGUCAAGAUCUGGAGGAACUUACCGGGUGGCGAAAGGCUGGCCACCCCUGGGACAAAGGAUUGAACGCUUCAAGGUGCGAAUGGCCUGGGGGAACCAAACCAGGAAUUUAGAUACCCCCUUGGGGUUUCAAGUUCCNACAGGACCCGUGUAAAAACGGGAA
rnacentral:rRNA from 1 species